GACGAACCGUGCGAACGUUGUUCGGAAUCACUGGGCUUAAAGGGCGCGUAGGCGGUCUCGUAAGUCUGCGGUGAAAUCCUCCAGCUCAACUGGAGAACGGCCGUGGAUACUGCGAGUCUCGAGGGAGGUAGGGGCGUGCGGAACAGAUGGUGGAGCGGUGAAAUGCGUUGAUAUCAUCUGGAACUCCGGUGGCGAAGGCGGCACGCUGGACCUCUUCUGACGCUGAGGCGCGAAAGCCAGGGGAGCAAACGGG
rnacentral:rRNA from 1 species